AGGAGCCCCAUCCAUCUAUCACACGUGUAGACAAAGGGGGACUCCACAACACAAAGCUAGACGUGCCCUCUCAAACUUUUUCCACGACGCACGGCGACACGCACAGCGCAAGGCACCCCCAGGUGGGAUUUUAACACCAGAUUAACCACCAAAGCGUGUUCUCUUGCGGGAGGUUAAGGAAAUGAAAAUAUGUGGAAAACACAUGGAAGAUGUACAGAGUCACCUAUCAAGAGGCUUUUAGGAUUAACAGACAGUGCACUUUUCUUUUGGAGAAGGUGAAGACUCAUCUCGUAAGGAUUUAAACUUCAGCAGCAGCAGUGCCAGGAGGGAUGCGUUUUAGGCACACUUGGAAAUCUAAAACUCAUGGAGACACUUUGGGGAUUAUAAAAAUGUGCAGUAUGUCUCUCCACAAGACGUUUCUCAGCCCAAAGUCACUGGGAUAGCAGGAUAUUGCAUUUUUGAUCCUCCACGGCCCUCCUCAUGGGGAGUGCGUGAGUGGAGAGGUCUGGGAGAUCACGACCUUAAUUCUCUCCAAGACAGAUGGUUUAAUUAACACUGGAGGAAUCCUCACUGACUCCACAAUGGGAAUGUGCAGGGGAAUUGGAUAGCUAAGGUCCAUCCAGCCAUUUAGCAGACUGUAAAGCUGACAGACGAUGCCCAUGAAUGAUGAAUGAUGACUGGAGGUCUGUCUAGUGCCAACAGAAUGCAUAAUACAGCAUAGAUACAGUGAUUCCAGUCCUCCCCACCAGAAACAUGGUGCAGUUACUGUAUCAUAUCAUUGGCAGAUCUACUCUCCACAGAAAAGCACAACCACUUAAAGUGGAAAUCCACCCCAAAACAGUAUUCAGGCCCCCUUCUCUGUAGUCCACAUUGCAAGAAGACCACCUCACAGGGAUUUUCCCCUUCACCAGGUGUGGCAAAGUGAGAGUCAGAAAGAUCACCUAGACAGACAGUCUAGACAGGACCGCCAGGAUCAAACAUGCGGAGGAUGGAGUAGAAAGAUCAAGAUGAAGAGAAGAACAUGCUUGAUGCAUGUAUAUUUGUGACAUGUAAGGUAACAUCUUAUUGUUUGUCAUCUCCAUUGUCAUAUAACUUCCUCAGUUGAAACUGAAAUAUUUAACUUUCAAUAUAUUAACAACAUCUGGUGGAUCUGGAGCCCAACACAGUGUCUACACAGGCUGUGUAGUGAAAGCAGCACGAUAGCGGAGCAGCAGCUGCAGCUCCCACAUCACCCACGUUUUGGUAGCAAUCAGACCCCAACACACAACCACUAUACAGUAGUUACUUGUGUAAAAUGGAAGAGAACAGACUUGAAGUGCAAAAAUACGGACUGUGAAGAAGUUUGAAAAUGCUGCUUUGUGUGUGCAAAUCAUGAUAACUCUUGUUGGAAAUUUUGUAAAUAUAUUAUCAAAAAUAUGAGUUUGUAUGUAUAGCUCUAUAAUGGCAAUGGUAUUUGCAUGAUACAAGAACACCACCAUGUGUUUUACUAUGUGUCUGUAUGGUAGAAAAAAGCCUUUUUUGUUCAUGUUCACUGUUACAUGAGAAGAUGUUGCUCUUUGCAGUCUACAUUUUGUUCCAGACUGCUGUACAUGCUUUUCUUCAAGGGAUCUUGAUUUUUGCUAAUGCUUUUCAUGUAUGUAGAUUUGAAAAAUGCGGUCAGAACAAUGUUUCACAUCUAAGGAUUCACAUUGUGACACAGCUUUGAUAACCCUAGUGUCUGGUACAAUAACAUAUUCAUGUACUGUACUGUAUGUGCACGGUAUCUGUUAAGAAGUAACGAUCACAAUUUGGUCGCAGGGGAAGAAAGACAGCAUAAAGGACAUGUACUCAUACAAUAUGUAAAGCUCUGUGGAGAAAUAUGUCCAGACUGUAGGGCUCUCAUGUGACAAUAUAUGUACAACGAUUCAUUUUUAUCAUCGCAGCAUAGAUUAUUAAUGAAUAUUGUAUUGUUCUGUGAAAAAUCUAGGUAAUAUAAUCUUGUAUAAAAAAAUUUAAUGGUUACUCAACAGACUCAUGGAAAUGUGGGAUUACACUUGUCAUAUGAGAAUCUACCAGCAGUGUAGGAAAGGUGCAGUGUACAGAGUAUCUCUUUCUCUUCAACAUCAAGAGAAGAAGAAAAUGUCUUUCUCUUCCACAUGUGUGCUUUAAAGCCUUCUAAGUAGCUUAGAGAUGAGUGGCUGGCUGCAUGGUGCUGGAGUAAUGAUGGCUGCAGAUGUAUACUGUCUUUCUUCUACCCAGACAGUCUGACUUUGGCUCUUGAAAAAGCACCGUAUUAUCGAUAGAAUGGUGGUUUAAUGACCCAAUUUACACCUGGCAUUAAAGUAUCUGUAUUUGGCAGAUGUGUGUGGACUCGAGUCAUGAAUCUGGUGACUUCAGACUUGACUUGACAGAAUCAGAAGACUGCAACUAGACUUUGAUUUAAAAACCAGUGACUCUUGACUUGGACAUUAGCUUUUUAUGGUAUGUUUUUGUAGUUUAAUAAGACCAAGAGAGCAUAGACUAACUCUAUUGAAAAAAGUUCUAGUUGCUUCACAUCAAUUUCACUUGUUGAAUCUCUCAGUUAAAACUUCAUUUAUUGAACAGCUGAAUAAUUUUGAAUCAGAGCCUCCAGUAUUUAGAGCAAGCCAUCGUUGCCCAUCAUCAUUUCAUCUGUUACUCAUCUCUUCAUCAGGUUUUAUAUGAGUUUUGAUCAUUAAGUACGCUGCCACUCAAAAAUGAAGUGCUUCUACACUCUCUGCCAAGAUCUCAGUUAUUUGAGUUAUUUUUAACUUUUGUUAAAAAUGUUCAAAUAUGAAGACAAAUAGAUUCAAUAAGAGAUUAAAAACUAGAUGAUUAAACAAUAUCAAACCCUAGUCUCUGGAGUGAUAUCAAGGCACACCAGAAAAUGUUGCUUUUAAAUGUUUUAAAAUGUCUUUAAAGUUAUAAAUACACUUUCGAAAAGCAUUUAUUAUUUCAGUAAAUUUACUAUAAACCUGUAACUGUUAAGUUAAAAAUUCUAAAUGGCAUUCAAUUUGAUGAUGGUCGCAUAAUGAAAUAAUUGUUUAGGACUCAAACUACAAGUUCUAGGACUUGAACAUGACUUGACACUUGUUGGAAACAUUUGAUUAGGAACUUCUUAGCUAAGAUUUGAGACUUACUUGUGACUGGCAAAACAACGACUUUGUCCCACCUCUAUCUGGAUAAUCUAUCAGGUUAAAACACAUACAGAAAGCAUUGUGAUUGGAGAGUGAUUAGGUUGGCCAAAACACACCUGGGGGAGGUUCUAUUUUUAAAGAUUUUUUUUCUGUACAUUUGUUCAUGACCUUUCCCUGAUCUUAACCAAACAUUAAGUUAUCUAAUGUUAACUAUACCAAAAUACAAUUGCCAUAGCCACAGUAUUUCCCUCACUUUAAGCAUAUUGUGGAUGCCAUUUGCAGAUAUUAUAGAAAACGAGGAUUUUUAAAACCUUGGUACUGAAUAUAAAAUUAUGUUGGCAUUGAAGGUAACCCAGGGUUUUUCAGAAUUGUCCAAUUUUGACAUCCUUGUCUGAAAAUACUGUUGGCAGAUUUACAUACUGUAUUUGGUUACUGUAUUUGGUUACCUCUUUUGAAUAUAUUGGAAUAGCCCAGAUAAUGUGAGAUGACCUGACAUAAUUGAACCUUCAGACCUUUAAACUUUCAAACCAGCCAUAUGAUAUUUGUCAUAUACAGUAAGAAAAUGGUUUUUCAACAAAAUACCAGUGCGAAGUACCAAAUAUUAGAGCCGGGAUAGCCCUAAAAAACUCCUGCAGGGAUCAGUUUUUAGGCCCCCCUAUCUGCCUGCUUCCAUCUUUGUCUGUGGUUACUAACCCCAGUUACAGUGGUUAGACAGGGCCUCCCUAUGUCUUACAUGAACAGUUUAUCACACUUCCUUUCCCUCUGCCCUGGGCCCCCAGUCAGUCUGUCAGACAGGAAAAUCAAAGACUUUGGGACAUACCAUUACAGUGCAAAUGGUAUAUUGCACUGUACAGCACAUGCUGAUGAUAAAUAACCUAAAAGUCUCACAAGUAAAUAAAAAACAGGAAGUGGAUCUGAGCCGGUUUUCUUUAACAGCCUUCACAAGUGGACAUAGACUGUUUGAAUUACUCAUUGCAUUGACUGAGGGUUAGUCAAAAUGAUGCUAUACAUAUUGAAUGGUAUGGAAUUGAUUGGCAAUUUGAUGUCUGUGAAUGCUAUUUUGUUGGAACUGA